UCGUCGACGGCGGCCGGUGCGAUGAAGUGGACGUGCGUGUCGAUGCCGCCGGCGGUGAGGAUCUUGCCGUUGCCGGCGAUGACCUCCGUCUCGGGGCCGAUGACGAGGUCGGGGUGGACGCCGUCCAUGGUGUCCGGGUUGCCGGACUUGCCGAUGCCGGUGAUGCGGCCGUCGCGGAUGCCGACGUCGGCCUUGACGACACCCCAGUGGUCGAUGACCACGGCUCCGGUGAUCACCGUGUCGGGGGCGCCUUCGGCGCGGGUGGUGCGCGACUGGCCCAUGGACUCGCGCAG
rfam:Streptomyces ambofaciens ATCC 23877, complete genome.